rnacentral:rRNA from 1 species
CUACGGGGGGCAGCAGUGGGGAAUAUUGCGCAAUGGGCGAAAGCCUGACGCAGCAACGCCGCGUGAGGGAUGACGGCCUUCGGGUUGUAAACCUCUUUCAGCAGGGAAGAAGCGAAAGUGACGGUACCUGCAGAAGAAGCACCGGCUAACUACGUGCCAGCAGCCGCGGUAAUACGUAGGGUGCAAGCGUUGUCCGGAUUUAUUGGGCGUAAAGAGCUCGUAGGCGGUUAGUCACGUCGGAUGUGAAAUCCCAGGGCUUAACCCUGGGCCUGCAUUCGAUACGGGCUGACUAGAGUGUUGUAGGGGAGACUGGAACUCCUGGUGUAGCGGUGAAAUGCGCAGAUAUCAGGAAGAACACCGGUGGCGAAGGCGGGUCUCUGGGCAACUACUGACGCUGAGGAGCGAAAGCGUGGGGAGCAAACAGGAUUAGAUACCCUAGUAGUC